rnacentral:rRNA from 1 species
UACGAAGGGUGCAAGCGUUGCUCGGAAUUAUUGGGCGUAAAGGGUAGGUAGGUGGUCUUAUUUGUCCGGGGUGAAAGCCUUGAGCUUAACUCAAGAAGUGCCUCGGAAACGGUAAGACUGGAGUCCUGGAGAGGGUCGUGGAAUUCCCGGUGUAGCGGUGAAAUGCGUAGAGAUCGGGAGGAACACCAGAGGCGAAGGCGGCGACCUGGACAGGCACUGACACUCAACUACGAAAGCGUGGGGAGCAAACAGG